rnacentral:piRNA from 1 species
AAAUAGGGAGUCAUUAUAUAG